GAGAAGUAGCGCAUCAGCUUGAACGGCGUUCUCAAAACGGAUUUCUCCGAUGCCCGGCCGGACCCACUAGCUGCUCAUUAGCGCUGCUGCUCACGCGCUCGCUCGUAGACUGAGCGCAGAGUCGACUUGCGUGCGUGGAACUGAAGGAAUAGCGAGAGAGACCGUGAAGCACACGCCGAACCCAAGCAGCCUCCUCGCUGCCAAAGACGCUAACACCGCGACGGCGACACUUCACUCGCGAUUGUCACCUCUAGGCGAGAAACUCAUCGCCGCAAGUAUGGACACGCGUUCAACUUUUCCGCUGCGCAGACACUUCAUCUUCGAGUGAUAACCCCCGUUCUGUGUAUGUGACCCGCUACAGAUAAACUUGGCGAUUUACGGAAUUCCGUGUUUGUGAGUACGAACUGGAUAGCACAAAAAGAAGAAAAUGAAAACACUUACCUUACUUCCAGGUUCUGAGAUGGCCACCGAAAUGUCACCUCUGGCAACCUCUGAUGAUGUCGCCUUCGGCACCAACCCAUGACGACACUUCCGGUCUUCCGAAGAUGACAUCACUUCCUCAUUACAUCACUUCUGGUCCCUUUUGAUGAUGUCAUAUCCGUCUGCCUGUUUCAACGUCAUUUCUUGCCAACUCAUAUCCAUCCACCAUUUUUGUUGUGUAUAUAAAGCCACCAUUUGUAAAACUCCUCUGUGAUGUACUGUAAAUGUAUGUUAAUCACCAUUUUGACUUUUCAUUUUAAUUUUAUCUAUUGGACAUUAUACAGGGACGGUCCCCAACUAUUUUUCAUUGUGGAAAUUCUCUUUUUGGUUUAUUACACCAUCUACCUGAAGAUUGCUACGAUCCUCCAUCAAAGAAGACUUUUUGUUCGGCAGGCAAAACAACUUGGCAGGUGGGCAGUGGCACCAAGUGCCACAUUUGAGUACUGAGAAGAGAAGCAGAACAGAUGAGGGUCAAAUGCAGGAAAAGCUACCUGAUUUAACAAGAACAAUGUCACAUCCGGUUCCGGCGCCAAGAAAGACAUCACUUCCAGUUCCUGGCCUCAGAUGACAUCACUUCCGGUAUCACCCUUUAAAGUCGCCAUCUUUUCCACCACUAGAUCAGUUCAGACAGAAACUCAACCUAUGCACAUCAGUGCCUAUCUCAAAACCCUUUUUGCAGCCAGGGACAAUAUACGGGUGGCUACCCAAAACCUUUCCAGUGUGUUGAGACUCAUUCUUCUACAAUAGUAAGAUUAUAUACAGUAUGGUUAUUAAAAAGGGCAGCAUCCCCAGGAGUAAAAGCUGAGGGCCAUCACAUUUAACACCACCUAAUUCUAAUAAGGUUCCUUAUUCAAUAACCAAAUGUUUCUGGAGAUUAAGCCAGUAUUGGCUGAGCCACCGCCUGUGUGGGACAUCUCCUUGUCACGCAUGUACUUCUGUAAUUCACCAUCUUGGCU